UUUGAAAAUGGCGGUGAUGAACUGUGGAUAGGGGUGAAAGGCCAAACAAACUUGGUGAUAGCUGGUUCUCCUCGAAAUGUAUUUAGGUACAGCGUCAUGUGUUCAGUCUCGGAGGUAGAGCACUGGAUGGGCUAGGGGGCCUACAAGCUUACCGAACCCAGCCAAACUCCGAAUGCCGAGACUCCAGAGCAUGGCAGUGAGACUACGGGGGAUGAGCUUCGUUAGUCGAAAGGGAAACAGCCCAGACCAUCAGCUAAGGCCCCUAAUUCAGGACUAAGUGGAAAACGAUGUGGGACUGCUUAGACAGCCAGGAGGUCGGCUUAGAAGCAGCCACCCUUGAAAGAGUGCGUAACAGCUCACUGGUCGAGUGGUCCUGCGCGGACAAUUUAACGGGGCUCAAGUCCUGAGCCGAAGCUAUGGAUUCGUACUUAGUACGAGUGGUAGAGGAGCGUCGAUGGUGCAGCGAAGCGGCGGGAUAACCCGACGUGGAGCGCCAUCGAGUGAGAAUGCAGGCAUGAGUAGCGAGAGAGGGGUGAGAAACCCCUCCGCCGAAAGCCCAAGGGUUCCUGGGGAAGGCUAAUCCUCCCAGGGUGAGUCGGGAGCUAAGGCGAGGCCGCGAGGCGUAGUCGAUGCACAACUGGUUGAUAUUCCAGUACUGCCGUGCCCGCGCCAGGUCCAAGAGUGACAACAUCGGGGCUGCCUUCGGGCGAGCCGUUCGCGUUGCUGGCGGAUAGCUGGAGGGGGACGCAGGAAGGUAGGUGAACCGGGGCGAUGGUUGUCCCCGGGUAAGCGUGUAGGAGGAUCCCGAUGAGAGUUGGGGUCAUUAACUCUGAGACGUGAUGCCGAGCCGAUUAAGGCGAAGUCACUGAUCCUAUGCUGCCAAGAAAAGCCCAACAGUGAGUUGGCACGGCACCCGUACCCCAAACCGACACAGGUGGGCGGGUAGAGAAUACCAAGGCGAUCGGGAGAACUAUGGUUAAGGAACUCGGCAAAUUGCAUCCGUAACUUCGGGAGAAGGAUGACCCUAUUAGGGUGAAGGGAUUUACUCCCAGAGCUCGAGAGGGUGGCACAGACCAGGGGGUAGCGACUGUUUACCAAAAACACAGCAGCGUGCCAAGCCGCAAGGCGCAGUAUACGCUGUGACGCCUGCCCAAUGCUGGAAGGUCACGGGGAACGGUUAGUCGUAAGGCGAAGCUGUGAACCUAAGCCCCAGUGAAUGGCGGCCGUAACUAUAACGGUCCUAAGGUAGCGAAAUUCCUUGUCGGGUAAGUUCCGACCUGCACGAAUGGCGUAACGACUUCCCCACUGUCUCAACCAUAGACCCGGCGAAAUUGAAGUACGAGUAAAGAUGCUCGUUAGCUGCGGAAGGACGAAAAGACCCCAUGGACCUUUACUAUAACUUGAUAUUGAGCUUUGUCCCG
rnacentral:rRNA from 1 species